rnacentral:lncRNA from 1 species
GUGUGUGGUGCGGGGUGCGGGGAGUAGGGAUCGUGGGGGAGGCUGUGACAGAGGGUGCCUUUGUGAGGGCAGAGGCUGGAGAGGCUGGGCUGCAGCUUCUCCCUCAAAGCACCCUGUGAGAAGGCUGGGAUGGGCUACGCCCCGGAGGGCCUCAGAAGAAACAUUAUUCCUCUCCACCCCCAGCCUCCAUGGAGGAACUGAGAGGGCCACUGGUGGAGAAGCUGGUGGCUCAUACAUUCCAGGCUGUGCUAGCGGUUCGGCCAGUGACACUCCAAGGUUUCUUUCAACAUGCCCGAGUGCUGUGAACGUUAUGAGAGGGCCUUGUUGGGAACACGUGCUCCUGGGAAUCAGCCCUUCCCUCUGUCCUGUUCCCACUCCUCCCCGACGAUGCUCCUGCUCAGAACCCACUCCUCACCUCAGUGAAGCAACGCAGCGGGCACCCUGUGGACAAAGCUGGAUAUUGGCUCUGAAUAAAAGCGAAUCAUGGGGAAAAUCAGUGUCUCAGUAAAAUGGGGUUUUCUUAGUAGAGACCAGACUGUGAAGGACCUUGCUUCAUUCCAUCUUUGAGGAGGAUGAUGAUUCAGGGACAUUGGCCCAAGAUCAAAGUGGUAUUUUUAGGUUGUAUUUACUUAGCUAUUUGCCGUCUACCUCCUUAUUUCCAGGUAGCAACUUCCUUCUUAUAUCUGAGAUGUUUAAGAGAUGAUGAAACCAGCUUGCACACACUUCUCAAAGUGUGUUUGUUCGCAUCCAUUAUUUCACUGGGGACCGGCUAUUAUCCUCUCCAUUUUCUUUAUAAGGAUAUUGAAAGAGAGAUUAAAUAACUUGUUCAAGGCCGCAUAGCUAGUUAACAGCUGAACUAGGCUUAAAACCAACGUCUGAAGGCUCCUAUUCCAGUGGCAGCUGCUGUGUGCUUCUUCUGUUUUCCAUCAGUUUGGAAGGGAGCAUAAAGUCUACAGCCACAUGGGUGGGGUCAGCAGAAAGAUUGACCACCAAGCCUGAGGCAGGUGAGGCUGAUCUCCUGGGCACAGCCUCUCUGCACAGGAGUUCACAGAAGUGAUAUGAUCCAAAGUUGCUGAGGGAAAAGCCCUUAUUUGUGGAAUUAACGGCAGGUCUCUCUUGAGGUCAGAAUGAAUGUUAUUGACAUUAUUGUUUGUAUUGUGGUAAGGUAUACAUAAUGGAAAAUGUACCAUUUUGGCUGGACAUGGUGGCUCACGCCUGUAAU